UGGGGAAUCUUGCGCAAUGGGGGCAACCCUGACGCAGCCAUACCGCGUGCGCGAUGACGGCCCUCGGGUUGUAAAGCGCUUUUGGCGGGGACGACGAUGACGGUACCCGCAGAAUAAGUCACGGCUAACUUCGUGCCAGCAGCCGCGGUAAUACGAAGGUGGCGAAUGUUGCUCGGAUUCACUGGGCGUAAAGCGUCUGUAGGUGGUUUUGUAAGUUAGAGGUGAAAGCCCCGCGCUCAACGUGGGAAUUGCCUUUAAAACUGCACAACUAGAAGAUAUGAGAGGAUGGCGGAAUGACUGGUGUAGAGGUGAAAUUCGUAGAUAUCAGUCGGAACACCCAUGGCGAAGGCAGCUAUCUGGCAUAUUCUUGACACUGAGGGACGAAAGCGUGGGGAGCAAA
rnacentral:rRNA from 1 species